UACGAAGGGGGCUAGCGUUGCUCGGAAUCACUGGGCGUAAAGCGCACGUAGGCGGCUUUCUAAGUCAGGGGUGAAAUCCUGGAGCUCAACUCCAGAACUGCCUUUGAUACUGGAGAGCUUGAGUUCGGGAGAGGUGAGUGGAACUGCGAGUGUAGAGGUGAAAUUCGUAGAUAUUCGCAAGAACACCAGUGGCCAAGGCGGCUCACUGGCCCGAUACUGACGCUGAGGUGCGAAAGCGUGGGGAGCAAACAGG
rnacentral:rRNA from 1 species